CUUCCUCAUGUCGUUCAGUUUCAGAAGAGGGGAAAACAUUGGCGAUUAACUGAAUCGCAAGGAUAGUUAGUAGUAUUUGAUUUUGGUUUAACUGAUUUAUUGUAUUGAAGAUGAACUCUAAUUAUUCAUCAAUGACGACGACGGGAAAGGAAAAGUGGUAACAUUGAUAAGGGAAAAAUCAGAUUUAGAGAUAUAAAUUGUUAUUGCAUUGAGAGUAAGAUUGAGUUUGCUUUCAAACAAUUAGAAAGAGAUAAGAUCAGUUUGAGGAUAUUUUCGCAAAUGAGGCAGAAAGUUAUGUUUGGAAGAUAUAGAUGAUGUUAUUUUACUAUGGAUGUCAGAAAAUGGAGUUCCAUGGACUCUAAAGAAUGAUCAUGCUUUCUGUUGGUUUUGGGAGAAUGCUGCAGUAAACAGCAAUGGUUGUAUUCAGUUGCUUGUCAAGGUUCAGAAUCCAGAAUGGGAUAAGGAACACACACCUAAGAAAACUGCAUCAAAGUCACCUCAAGUGAGAAGAAUCCCAAGACUUGAAGGUAAGAAAAACAAAAGUGUAGGUGGUUCUAGUGCUAGGAAGUUGUUUGGGCAGGAUUUUUCACAACAUACUCAAGCAAGUGUAUUUGGUGACAACUUGAGAGGAGGAACAAGUAGCAAACCAGUUCUAGUAGAUGAGGAACCCGUGCAAGUAGAUGAUGAUUGGGAUGAGGACUAUUGGUUACAGAAAUUGAAAGAAAAUGAUGAGAUUGUAUUUCAACUUGAGAACAAAUAGGUGGAUGAGUGUCACCCUGUCGAAGAUCCUGAAGCUGCAGCUGCUUAUAAUAGUGAUGAAGACAAUGAAGAUGCAAGUGAUGCUGAACAUGUUGGAGAUGAAGACGAUUCAAGUUAUGAUGGUGCAGAAGUAAACGAGGAAGGUGAAGAUGUUGAAGAAGACCCUCAGUGGUUCAAGGAUCAUGUGGCUGAAAAUUCAGAGUUAGAGGAUGAACCUGGUGAUCUGUUUGAUGACACAGACCUUGUUGAACCAUUGGAUCCUUCACAAAUGAUUGAAGGUACUGAAUUUCCUGAUAAAAAAGCAUUUCAAAGGCAUUUAAAGCAUUUUUCUGUAUUAAGUGAAUGUGAGUAUAAGGCUGUAAAGAGUGACAAGUCUAGAGUUAGGGUUUGGUGUGCAAAGAGGUUUAACCGUGGGGGCCGUGUUGUUUGUCACUGGAUGGUUUUUGCUUCAAAACUAAAACACCAGUCUACAUUUAAGGUUAAGGGUAUGAACUUAAAGCAUAAUUGCAAGGGGGUUGUAUAAGACAAGGUGAAGAAUAGAUCUGCAAGACAAGUUGAAGAGCAGCUCUGGAAAUGUAAUUCCAAGACCUAGGCAGAUUCAAGAGGAUUUUAUGGCCUCUCAUCUCAUUGAUAUUCCUUACCAUACUGCAUGGAAAGCCAGGAAUUUAGUAUUGGAAGCUAAAUAUGGAAGUUAUGAAGACAGUUUCAAGGAUGUUCCCCAGCUAUGUAAGAUGGUGUGUGACUCCAACAAAGACUCAGUUGCUAAUGUUUCAUACUGCAAGACUGACAUGGCAUUUGAGUCCGUGACAGUAAGCUUUGCUGGAGCUAUGAAAGGAUGGAAAAAGGGGGUAGAUCAGUUAUUGGGUUAGAUGCUUGUCAUGGAAAUGGUAAGUAUGGUGGUGUGUUGAUGGCUGCAACAGGGUUAGAUGGUCAAAAUGGAUUAGUCCCAUUAGGAUUUGGACUUUUCAAAUCUGAGACAAUUGAGAAUCGGAUGAUAUUUCUCACUGACUUGAAGCCAUUACUCGAAGGCCAUCCAAUGCCAUUGACAUUCAUUUCAGAUAGGCAGAAAGGACUACUUGAAGCUGUUCCUGCUGUGUUCCCAAAAGCACAUGUUAGAUAUUGUUGGAGGCACUUUUAUAGCAAUUUCAAGAAGCACUACAAGGGACAAAAGUUGUAUAGCUCACUGUGGAAUGCAGCCAAAUGCUACAAGAAGAAACAUUUCUACAAACACAUGGAAGAUAUAAGGAAAGAAAAUCCUGCAGCUGCCAAGUACCUUGAAGAUGCCGGUGUUGAGUCAUGGUCUAGGGCGUUUUUUGAUGACACCAGUAAUGUGAACACCUAAAUAACAAUUUUAGUGUGUCAUUUAAUUCCAUGAUAAAAAAUAUUAGGGACAAACCCAUCUGUUGAGUAAUAAUUCUUUAUAAUCAGUUGGUUAGGAGUUUGGUUUACCAAAGGAAAAAGGAGAGUGCAAAAUGGAAUCCUAAAGAUUUGGUUCCAACUAGAAUGAAACUGAUUGGGAAGAUGUCGAAGUUGGUUGGUGCAUUUCAAGUUGACCCUUGUGUUUUUGGAAAACUGUUUGAGGUUACAAAUGUAGGAAGCAAGGCAGUUUUUAUUGUUAACUGUUUGAGGUUACAAAUGUACUUGUCUACAAUGGCAACUCAGAGGAUUUGUUUGCCAACAUGCUGUUUUUUGUUUGAAGACAUUUAGACCUGAUUGGACAAAAUACUGCUGUCACUAUUAUACAUUUGCUACAUAUAGAGUUAUAUAUGCACCAACUGUGUUUCCAUUUCCUGAUAAAGAAGAUUGGCCUGAGUUGGAAGAAGAUGAAAAGAUUGAUUUGGAACCUUCACUGAAGACAAGGAAAACAGGAAGGCCAAGAUCUAAGAGGAGGAGAGCAUGGGAUGAGCCUAAAGCACAGAAAAAGACAUAUUCAUGUAGAAUAUGUGGUUCAACUGGUCAUAACAAAGCUACAUGUGCAGGUGGUGAUGUUGGUCAGAAUCCUAAAGCAAAGAGGCAAAGAACUCAAGUGGAUGGUUCUACCUUCACCAAAUUUGAAAGACCUGUUGCAUCUAUUUCUAAGGCUAAACAAGCAUCUCAACCAUCCAAUAUUUCAAAAGCUGCAGCUCCAUCUAGUAAUAAAGCAGGUAGAACUUCAAAGAAGUAGAAAAUGACUCAAGCAAAGAAGUGAAUGGUUGCAGUUUAGUCAUGUAGUUUGCAAUAGUAUUUAUGUCUUAUUUUUAUGGGAUGAUCUGUUUUUUGGUUGAUGAAAACUCUUCGUACUACAGUUUCUUUAAUUGAAACUUUAUGUUAUUUUGGAACAUACUUAUUUAUGAAAUGAAGAUUGUUUACAUA